rnacentral:rRNA from 1 species
UACGUAGGCAGCGAGCGUUGUUCGGAGUUACUGGGCGUAAAGCGUGCGUAGACGGUUAUUUAAGUCAGGUGUGAAAGCCCCGGGCUCAACCUGGGAAUUGCAUUUGAGACUGAAUAGCUAGGGUGCGGAAGAGGGAAGCGGAAUUUCCGGUGUAGCGGUGAAAUGCGUAGAUAUCGGAAGGAACACCAGUGGCGAAAGCGGCUUCCUGGUCCAGCACCGACGUUCAGGCACGAAAGCGUGGGGAGCAAACAGG